CCAAACUGUGACCCUCCCUCCCCCUUAUCUUCUCUCUCUCUCUCUCUCUCUCUCUCUAACCCUCUGUAGAAAUGACUUGUGCUAUCAAACCAUUGUCAAUGGCCGAGUGUUGUAUAAUAACCUCUGUUCCAGCACUAUUCACUUCCAAAACCCAACACCCAUUACUCUCAAUCCCCUCAAAAACAAUCAAACUCACCCAUCUCUCAUGCUCAUUAUCAUCUCUUUCUGCUUCAUUCCCUUCAUCUUUAUGGGUCUCUCUCAGACCUAAGAUUACAUCAUCAUCGGGUGUGGUCUCGUUCGUUGCGCAGACCUCAGAUUGGGCCCAACAAGAGGGCGAAGAACAGAACCCAAUUGAUGGGUUCAAGUGGGGAGACGAGACUUUGGCGGAAACGGAGGCCACUGCUACUUCUUGGGAAGGUGAGGGUGGAGAAGAUAGAGGAGAGGGAAUCAGAGAUGGUGGGGUUUUGGAGGAGAGUGAAGAAGAGUCCUAUCCUGAGCCAUCUGAAGAGGCUAAGAUUUUUGUUGGGAAUUUGCCUUAUGACAUUGAUAGUGAGAAAUUGGCUCAGCUUUUUGAUCAGGCUGGUAUUGUUGAGAUUGCUGAGGUAAUUUACAAUAGGGAAACGGAUCAGAGUCGAGGUUUUGGAUUCGUAACAAUGAGUACUGUCGAAGAAGCUGAGAAGGCUGUUGAGAUGUUCCACCGUUAUGUAUAUCAUAUCUUGAGAAGAAAUAAGUCCGCACCCGUCUAAGAGAGGAACAAGUAAAAACUCAAGGUGAUCAGUUGCAAACUCAAGGUAUUCAGUUGCAAGCUCAAGAUGCUGUAAUAAACUCUUCAAAAGAGCAAGUAGCAUUUUUGAUGAGACAGAGACAAUGUUCUAGUGGUUUGCAGGCGACAGAUGGAUCUAGUGGCAUUUCGAACCAGGCUUCUCCACAAAUACAUCAGAGAUCCUCUUUUGGGAGUCAUGAAAUGCAACCUUUUAAUCGGGGAAAUAAGACAACAUGAAAGCAUCAAUCAAUGGACCUCAUUUCUCGAUUUGAACAUUUUUUAUGGAGGUCUUUAUAAAAUGGCGUCAUGAGUAAUACUUUUGAGUACUAUUGUCCUGUGACAAGUUUAUAUAUACUUUUUAGAUUAUGGUGUGGGCUAUUAGUUUGUUAGAAAUAUUGGAUCUUUUUUGUAUUACAGGCUUAUGUAAUGAACAUUUAAUUAAGGUGUUUUAGAUAUUUUGGGAUUAUAAAAAUGCUGACUCUUUUACCUUUUACAA